AUUGUGGUCACCGAGUGUGAGCCGGGCUGUGCUGUGGACCUCGGCUUGGCCCGGGACCGGCCCCUGGAGGCCGAUGGCCAACAGGUCCCCCCCGACACCUCCGGGUCCCAGGCCCGGCCCCACCUCUCCGGUCGCAAGCUGUCUCUGCAAGAGCGGUCCCAGGGUGGGCUGGCAGCCGGUGGCAGCCUGGACAUGAACGGACGCUGCAUCUGCCCGUCCCUGCCCUACUCGCCCGUCAGCUCCCCGCAAUCCUCGCCUCGGCUGCCCCGGCGGCCGACAGUGGAGUCUCACCACGUCUCCAUUACGGGACUGUGUGCAGCUGAAUCAGUAUACCCUGAAGGAUGAAAUUGGAAAGAUCUUAACUUCUGGAUAGUAUGUCAUGGGCAUCUCCCUUUAUCCAGGGCUCCUAUGGUGUCGUCAAGUUGGCCUACAAUGAAAAUGACAAUACCUACUAUGCAAUGAAGGUGCUGUCCAAAAAGAAGCUGAUCCGGCAGGCCGGCUUUCCACGUCGCCCCCCACCCCGAGGCACCCGGCCAGCUCCUGGAGG
rnacentral:sRNA from 1 species